AUUGAACGCUGGCGGCAGGCUUAACACAUGCAAGUCGAGCGGGGUGAUGGUGCUUGCACUAUCACUUAGCGGCGGACGGGUGAGUAAUGCUUAGGAAUCUGCCUAUUAGUGGGGGACAACAUCUCGAAAGGGAUGCUAAUACCGCAUACGUCCUACGGGAGAAAGCAGGGGAUCACUUGUGACCUUGCGCUAAUAGAUGAGCCUAAGUCGGAUUAGCUAGUUGGUGGUGUAGAGGCCUACCAAGGCGACGAUCUGUAGCGGGUCUGAGAGGAUGAUCCGCCCAACUGGGACUGAUGCACGGCCCAGACUCCUCCGGUAGGCAGCAGUGGGGAAUAUUGGACAAUGGGGGGCACCCUGAUCCAGCCAUGCCGCGUGUGUGAAGAAGGCCUUAUGGUUGUAAAGCACUUUAAGCGAGGAGGAGGCUCUUUUGGUUAAUACCCGAGAUGAGUGGACGUUACUCGCAGAAUAAGCACCGGCUAACUCUGUGCCAGCCGCCGCCGUAA
rnacentral:rRNA from 1 species